rnacentral:rRNA from 1 species
GAUCCAGCCAUGCCGCGUGUGUGAAGAAGGCCUUUUGGUUGUAAAGCACUUUAAGUAGGGAGGAAUAGUUAUUGGUUAAUACCCAAUGAUGAUGACGUUACCUACAGAAUAAGCACCGGCUAACUCUGUGCCAGCAGCCGCGGUAAUACAGAGGGUGCGAGCGUUAAUCGGAAUUACUGGGCGUAAAGCGAGUGUAGGUGGCUCAUUAAGUCACAUGUGAAAUCCCCGGGCUUAACCUGGGAACUGCAUGUGAUACUGGUGGUGCUAGAAUAUGUGAGAGGGAAGUAGAAUUCCAGGUGUAGCGGUGAAAUGCGUAGAGAUCUGGAGGAAUACCGAUGGCGAAGGCAGCUUCCUGGCAUAAUAUUGACACUGAGAUUCGAAAGCGUGGGUAGCAAACAGGAUUAGAUACCCUGGUAGUCCACGCCGUAAACGAUGUCUACUAGCCGUUGGGGUCCUUGAGACUUUAGUGGCGCAGUUAACGCGAUAAGUAGACCGCCUGGGGAGUACGGCCGCAAGGUUAAAACUCAAAUGAAUUGACGGGGGCCCGCACAAGCGGUGGAGCAUGUGGUUUAAUUCGAUGCAACGCGAAGAACCUUACCUGGUCUUGACAUAGUAAGAACUUUCCAGAGAUGGAUUGGUGCCUUCGGGAACUCACAUACAGGUGCUGCAUGGCUGUCGUCAGCUCGUGUCGUGAGAUGUUGGGUUAAGUCCC